ACUGACGGCCGCGUGUUCAAUUCCCGCCGUCUCCACCA
rnacentral:sRNA from 1 species